GCUCCGGUGGCCUAGUGGUUAGAGCGUCCGCCUCGGAUGUGAGAGGUCGCGGGUUCGAAUUCCCGGUCGAAUCA